UCUCCAAAAGCCGUCCCAGUUCGGAUGCAGGCUGCAACCCGCCUGCAUGAAGUUGGAAUCGCUAGUAAUCGCGGAUCAGCAUGCCGCGGUGAAUACGUUCCCGGGCCUUGUACACACCGCCCGUCACACCAUGAGAGUCGGGAACACCCGAAGUCCGUAGCCUAACCGCAAGGGGGCGCGGCCGAAGGUGGGUUCGAUAAUUGGGGUGAAGUCGUAACAAGGUAAC
rnacentral:rRNA from 1 species